GCCUAACUGUUCUAGAGUGUAUAUUUUUCAAAUUGCCUAUAUCUGCAUUUUCCAAGCUCUUCAAAGUUUUGUCUUUUGCCUUGUUUUUCUUUCAUUGCUUUUGAAAUUUAAAUAUAUAUAAUUAUGUACUAGUUAUUAUCAUCUUGCCGCGCGAGUUUUUCUGUGAAGUUUUCUUUCUGGUCCAGUCCAGUCCACAACUGCUGAUUAAAUUCUGCCUUUGUUUUAGACACUGCCUUUGUCUCUCUUAGACUUGUACAAUAAGCCUCACUCAACCUGCUUACAUUGUCCUGCAAAUGACCGUGCCAACUCAAAAUCCAACCCUCUGUAUUACAUGAUAAACUCGAAGCUUACUCAAUUCUUGGGGUCUGAAAUUGUAUGAUGUAAUGAACUAACUCUUGUAUGAAUGGAAUGUUUUCCUUAAUCAUUAAAGUUUUAUAUCAAUAAAAGUGUAAU
rnacentral:misc_RNA from 1 species